AUUCCUUAGAUUGAAGUGUCAACGAAGGUAUCAAUGCGUCAAUCUCACAUGCUAUCUUACUCCAGAAACUCUGUUUUGGAGUGGCAAUGCUUUCAUACUCAUUGUUUUCACGUGACAGCUGAUAUUGUUGUUUGGAUACACGAGGCCUUUAGAAAUCAUCCACAUCAUCAUGCGACAGGUGCUUUUGGUGCAUGUUAGGCAUUUCAAAUCUGUUCCUCGAAGUACAUCAUAAAAUGAAGAAGAGAACAGAGAGAAACUAUGGUAAGAGGUUGAGUAAGGAAAAAAGUGUUCUGUUUCUUUAUAUGCGCAUGUGAGAGAGAGAGAG
rnacentral:lncRNA from 1 species